rnacentral:lncRNA from 1 species
CGGUACACCAUCUGCGAAAACGCCCAGCCCGAGCCUCGGGUUGGCUGAGAAGCGGCCAAAGUCGAUGGCUGUACCGGUACAGCCAUCACUCCCGUACCGGUACACAGCCCUCUGAAGGCAACCCGAGAGCUAACCAAAAAUCCGAUUUUUCGGGUUUUCGUGCUCGGCUUUAAACCUCACUUCUCGGGAUGCGAGCCAUAGGUCGGAACACUGUCAACGACCCACCAGAAAAUCUGGAAUUGCUCAGCACACAGCUCGAACACUCGAACCUCGCAAUUUGCAAAGGUCCAGUGUGUUACAGCCUUCUUAGUAUACGAUUUCUUUGAGGGACAAUCCGUUGCGAUGUGGCCGUAGCCUUUGCACUUGUAGCAUCGGAUUUCACCUUCAAAGUCAUCCUUUUCUUUCGAAGUCUUUGCACGCUUCUUCUUUUUAGAUGUAGAAGAUUUAGAAAACGUUUGUAGCUUAGAAGCCUUGUCCGAAUUGUUCUUCUUUCAGAAAUUUCGACGAAACUUCUUCGUUAGGAGCGCCAAUUGAUGUUCGAAGUCGGCAAUUGAGAUCUCUCCAUCGGAAUUCAAGUCUCCGUCUUCCUCGUUCGUCAAUUUCAACGCAACCCCUGUGCUUUUAGAGAAAGACUUGGAAGAAGAUUGAUUAGUAGGAAAAGUCAUCUUAUAAGUUUGCAAAGCACCUACUAAUUCUUCGACUUUUAUCUCGUCAGGAUGCUUAACCGUUUCGAUCGCGGCAACCUUUGCCCAAAAGCAUUCCGGAAGAGUUCGAAGAAUCUUUCUAAUAACCUUUGCAUCCGGAAUUUUCUCUCCCAAGUUAGCACAUGUAUUCACAACGUCUUGUAGACGUGUAUGGUACUCGGCAAAGGUCUCGUUUUCAUCCAUAGAAAUAGAAUCAAACUUGCUUGUUAGUAUUUCCAAUUUUUGGACCUUUACUAAGCUCGUUCCUUCAUGCGUAACUUGUAAAGUACUCCAAAUUUCCUUCGCCAUUUCGCAUGCCGAAACACGAGUAAACUCGGUUUGAGACAAUGCAUUAAAUAAAGCGUUUAUGCCCUUGAUGUCUCGUUUUCUUCUUUCGUCCACUUGUUCCAUGGUUUUGGCAUUUCAACAUUCUCGACUUUUUCAAUAGGAUGUUUUCAUCCAAAUUCGAUUGAUUGCCAAACGCGCUCAUCAAUUGCAAUUAGAAAAGCUCUCAUGCGAACUUUUCAAUAGGCAUAAUUUGUGCCGUCGAGGAGCGGUGGUCGAUUAAUGUUUCCACCUUCGGCCAUUAGAUAACAAUUUAUCUAGAUCCGGCUCUGAUACCAAUUGAAAGUUUUGAGGAGCCCAAGGAUCUAUCUAGAUUGUAUCUAUCACCUAGAGGGGGGUGAAUAGGUGAAAGUAACCAAAAACCACAAAUCUCNAUUUAAAAUCCGGUAUGUUACAUUCCACCGCAACCGCACCAGAACCAUUUAAAUGUACACCGUGACUUCAUAAUUUUCGAAGUUCGGUAUGUUACAUAUAUAGUGUUGUAACAAUUGCACUUAAGCCCCCCCACUUGUUUCCUUUUGAACUGCCCAGACUGGGCUUUUUUCGCCUUCGGGGACCGGUCUCCCCGACCAGGGACCGGUUCCCGAACGGGGGUUUUCCAGAACUUAGCCAAAUUUUCGAGUUUUUCAGCUGUUGCGCAGCGAGGGACCGGUCUCCCCGUCAGGGACCGGUCUCCCGAGGACCGGUCUCACCACCAGGGACUGGUUGCCUCAGGACUUCCUGGCAGGCUACGCGUACGGGGACCGGUCUCUCCUUCAGGGACCGGUCCCCGAGAGCACAAAAUCUGGGACUUAGCCAGAUUUUCAGAUUACUCUCUCGGGUCCCUUCUAGCUUCACUUAUGGACUCUAAUAUGCUUAGGGUCCACUCAAACUCGUUCAAUUCCGCGUUCCGCUCAUUUUGACGGAACUCGGCACGAUUUACGAGGGAUGUGGUAUGUUACACUUUACCUUAGCCAACUAUGCCAUCCGACUCGGUCUUGAGUCAAUCAACUGCGGAUAGUCCGCGCUCUGUCCGGCUCGAGGUGAAGGAACUCUCACAUGCACCUCAGCCUUCAAUCACAAACCACAUCGCCCAGCGGGUCGCCCAGAGCUGCGUACACCCGUGGUCAGGGAUCUUCCGGUGGGAGAGGAACAUGCCGCAUACACCUGUAGCCGAUGUAACACACUGGACCUUUGCAAAUUGCGAGGUUCGAGUGUUUGGAUGUAUUUCGAGCUUUUCCAAACUUGGUGGAGGGUUGUAGAAUAUUUUCCGACCUAAAAAGUUCGUAAACCCGAGUUUUGGUUUGGUCCUGAGAGUUUUUACUCUCGGGUACCGGUCCCUGAAAGGAGAGACCGGUUCCCCAGUGAGCAGUGUUGCGACAGCCUUGAGGCAACCGGUCCCUGACAGGCGAGACCGGUCCUCGAGCGCGCCUUCGCAGUGAGAGACCGGUCCCACGCAGGGAGAGACCGGUUCCCGAACAUUGAUUUUUCGGGUUCGCAGCGAGAGACCGGUCCCUGCUGGGGAGAGACCGGUCCCUCUGGGCGAAAACUGCCCAGUUCGGGCUGAUGUAAAUUUGAGUUUUUGAGGGUUCUCUCCGGAUUUUGUUACACUAGAUGGGCUUAUUAGCCAUUUCCUCCUCUUCUCUCUCUCAUUUUCUCAUUCUCACCCUCUCCCUACACCUUCUAGAGAGAGAAGAAGAAGAAGAAGGAGGAGAAGAAGAAGAGGAGCUUGCUUGAGGGAGCUUGGAGCUCAACCUCUUUCUCUCCUUUCCACCCUUGCAAGGCUUAGAGCUUGCUUGUAGAGCUUGGUGGAGGACCAAUCUUCAACCCUAGAAGAUUUGGAGCUUGCUUGGAGGCAUCUUGGGAGGUUAGUACUUGGAUUCUACCCUUGAUCUUGAUUUGGUAGGUUUUACCAUUUGGAACCCUAGAAUUGGUAUUAGGGUUGAUUUUUUUUUGGGCUUUUUGAUCUAGGGCUUUUGAGGCUAGAUUGAUUGGAUUAGAACCUUCCUUGGGCUUGGAUUGGAAGGGAUUUAGCUCUCUUUUGGAGCUUGAGAGAGAUUUCCUACACAUUAGGUGAGUUUUAGCCCUUUUGCUAAGUUUGUAAGAGUUUGAUCUUAUAGUUGAUCGUAAUGCCCGUGUAUCUCUUCGCUCGAUACUUUUAGGGUAUUUUGAGACUCGUGGACAACUCCGUUCGGCGAAUCGAAGGAGCACGCGACGGUUCGGUGGGUUUGACCUAGCCACACAAUGAGAAAAUCUCAUUGUUGAUGAUUUAAGUGUUAUAAAAUGAAAAAGCAUGCAUAUUCUUGUUAUAUGUAUUUAUUGUGAAUUUUAGAAUGCUUAAAAUGCCUAUGUUGCAUAUAGUAAAAUUUUGGGCCUCUAUGUAGUAGAGAGCAUGCAUGUGUGAUAUAGCAUUCUGGUUGAGAUUUGAAAACUAAAAUUCCUAUUAUGAAAAUGAAUCUUGCUUUCAUGCAUUUAGCUUAUUUGCCAAUUGUGACAUUAGGGAUUUUUGGAAGCCUAGAGAGGCUUGAGGACUUAGACUAUUUGAGAGAUUGGGCCAAUGUCAUAAAGAGGCAUUGGGCCCGGGCUAAAGUGAACCUUGCUAGUAUUGUUUUAAUUGGAAUAUGGAACAUGAAUUGGGCAUGAUUAGUUGUGAUGCUUAAGUGUCAUAAAGAGGCACUAAGCAAGUGUGUGCGUUGGAGCGUCACUUUGAGACUUUGGACUAGAUCCUUGGGAUGCUAGUGACCUUGCCAGGUGAGAGGCAUGAGAGUAGAGUACUUGAGACUUUGACCUUGCUUGUUUGCCAUUUGUGCUCAUUCGCACAUGCUUGUGAGGGUCGCUCCCUACAAGCCGGCACUCCGGAGUUAGCCUACGCGACUUAUGUUCGCUCGUGCGGUAUUGAGAAGCCUACGGGGUCGAGUGGGACAGACACAUUCCCAGAGUAGGGAUGUCGAGCUACCACAGGCACUUAGGCGGCACAAGCUGGACUACCUUUGGUAGGUCCUUAAUUGGAAAUGGAAAUCGACACGGUGUUAAGAUUGAAUAAUCACUGGUAGAUAGGCUUAGUAGUUGGGUUACUUGACACGCUCAUGACAUAGCAUUGGGAUACAUAUAGUAUACUUGCCUGUUUUAUUCAUUGUGUCAUAGUAUACUGGGUCGCAUGAUAGAGCUCAUUCUUUAUGCAUGACAUCUUGGACAGUAGCGUUUACAUGUUGCCAUCGGACGUACUUGUUUAUGCUAGAGUAGAUGUACAUCAUACUUACAUCAUGCUUUCAUAUAUGCUUUCUUUCAGCAGUAUUGUACACGCUCUUUAUUGCUUAUUACUAUUGUCGUUACUUACCCUUUUCUUUUGGGGCCUAGUGGUGCAUUAAGCUGAGGUCAGUAAUUGGCCACUGGGAACUAUAAAUUAUAGUUCUCACGCCCCCUGUUUUGUGUUUUCUUUCAGAGCCUUCCACGCCGGGAGAGGCUAGGGACCGAGGGAAGGGCGUGGCUUCGAGCUAGCUCUUCAGCGAGUGACGAGUCGCUAGGUGGUCUACCUCUCGAUGUUUUUAUUUUGUGAGAGAUUGAGAGUUGUACCCGUAUAUGUAUAGAGACCACCUUUCUUUUGGAUUUUGGUAUUUCUUUUGAGGAGUUAGUAUUGUAUCACCUUAUGCUUUACUUUCCUUGUCUAGUUAUAUUUCUUUUACUCUGGUUUAGAUGAUAGAACUUUACUCGCUCUGAUAU